ensembl:lncRNA
GCAGGAGCCGCUGCUCACGGAGACUAGUGCUGCUGCUUUCAAACUGGGACGCGAUCCUGAGUUAUUCACCUGGCUCUAGGAAGAGGAUGAUGCUGGUCCCACAGCAGAGCUCACAACUGCCUCCCCAGUUCAGAGCCAUUAACGCAGAGUUCACCGUGGUUUGUCUAUGUAGAUAAGCAUUUACUGGACAGCAAUUAGACUUCUUCCACCUGCUGAAGAAACAGGCAGAAAAUUUCCAUUGUGAUUUCAGAGACAGACUCUUGCUACCUUCCUAGACAGAAACCCCCAAAGCCACAGCGACAGGUGUCUCCAGUUUACACGGCCCCAUGGCUGGAUCUGUAUUUCCGAAGCUUCUGCCUUCUUUCUGCCCUAGCUGAUGUUCCUGUUUGGCAUUGGAAGGGCAGCAGUUCCCCAGCUUGGUGUGCCAGGACGUGUCCAGCGCUGUCCCUGCGGCACGCGUGGCACCACUGCUCUGCUUUUGCUGACAUCCGUUCGCUCUGAAACACAACCACAUGCAGUUCCUCAAAUGAGUCUAAGUAACAUGGAAAGUAUCUGGCAUGAGGAAUUUUCCAAUAUGAAAUCAUAUCUCUGACCCCUGUUACCCUCAGCAGACCUGAUCCUGACCUGACCUGCAGAUUGAUGUCCCAGCUUGGCCUUGGACCUGCCUCAUCACUACGACCUUGCCUGAUGAUCUGGGCUGGUGGCUGCCCCUGGGGCCUGUCCUGCUCUCCUUGCCUCUCCGGGUGCCGUGGGAUGGGUCUGGCUAGCCAGGCGCUAUGCUCCCGGCUGUGAUUGCCCCCAAGUUCCAGCUCCAUCCCUCAGAGGGCCUCUGGCCCUCCCUGCUCCCUGGCAGCUGCUAUGUUUCUAACGUGCAUCCUGUUGCCUCCAAAAUACUCAUGCUGCCUAACUUGCUAUGCGGAACAGACACCACCUCUGACUUUUAAGUCAGCAAAGAUAUUUUUAAACAACCUUUUCUGAACUUCUUAAAAUGAAAUUUGUUAUUUUGAGUGUCACUUGCUCCUUCCAUUUCAGAGUUUCCUGGGAGUCCUAGCUCAGGGAGCUGCUAGUUCUCCGGGAGCUGCUAGUCUCCCAGCUCUCUCAGGGAGCUCCUGGAGUCCUCGCCCCAGGAAGGUGGCUGUGCUGAUACUGCAGUGAGCGGCCAGGCUGUGCCUCUGCAGCCCAGUAAGACUGCCCCUUUGUUCCCGGGCUACUGCAGAAAACAAUACUUGGGAAUGCGGCUUGCACCUGCUUCCUUUCUUGCAUGUCAUCCUUGGAGAUGAACUUUCAGGCUGUGUCAAACUUUAAAAAAAAAAAAGUCAAACAAAAGCUCUAGUCAUUGGUGUAGGAUUUUCUUCCUUGAGCCUCUUCCAAAAUCACUAGCUGCAUGUUACUUCAUCUGUGAGCGAACAGGAACGUUCUCUGGGGCCACAGCACGCUGUGGAGGGAGGCUGUUGUGCUUUAUUGCAUGUCCUUAGCAGGAGGAUGUGAAUCCGCCCUGAUGCUGAGUGAGACAAGGGAGGUGCUGGGAGAGGAGAUCUCUGUGAAUACCCAGACAGUGCUCUCUGCAGUUCAGCUCCUGGUCUCCUCCAGGC